UUUGUAUAUUUAACUUUCUUCAUGUUGACAAAUGCUUUUCAGACUACCAAAUAUUGACGAGGGGUUGUAGGAUUUAUUCAUCUGAAUGCAUGUCAUCCUAGGAAAGAGUAGGGCGUGGUACUAUUUGAUGUUGGGAAAGAGCCUUUAGCUCCAGUAAAUCCAUGUUUUUUUUUUUGUUUUUCGUACAUGAUACUUCUAUAGAUGUGGAUAUAUUUAGUGCAUUGGAUAAAAAAUGGCUUUCUUGGUCGAAGUGCAGGGCUGAAACAGUCAUAUAUCAGACUUGGGAAGCCAAGCAGGCAUUUUGUUUGUACUUAAAAGAUCCAAAAAACACAAUUGUCUUAAUUCUUUUUUUUUUCUAGGGUUCUGAAUUUGGGUUUUCUUUUGGAGGCUGUCAAGGAAUGAAAUCAAGGGAGCAGAAGUUGUGUGUCAGGGAAGCAUACUCAUUUGAAGUCAUUCGCAGGCAAUUAGGUAUUUUUGCCUAACAUUUUUACUUUAUGAAAGGUCAGCAAUCGAUGAUGGUUACGUAGAAAGCAGACUUGGGGCAGAAAGAAUGGGAAACAAAGAUUAAUGUUCUUGGGGUGAUUGAGCAUCCAAAUCUUGCCAAACUAAUCGGUUACUAUGCAGAAGAUACUGAACCUGGUACACAACUGUUUUUAGUGUAUGGUUAAUGGAACCGUGCGAGAUCAUUUAUCUACAAAAUCCGAAACACCACUAUUAUGGAACAUGAGACUGAAAGUGGCUCAAGAUGCUGCUCGUGGUUUGACAUAUUUACAUGAAGAAAUGGAUUUUCAGUCUUCUAGACAAUGAUUGGAAUGCUAAGCUUUUGGAUUUUGGGGUUGCACGGUUAGGUCCUCAAGAAGGCUUCACUCAUAUAUCGACAAAGGUAUGUUUUUAUAAUUGUCUUCUAUAUAUCGAGCUAACGUGGUGUGUAAGUUCUGUUGAAAAGAGCAUGUUUUUAUCAUGGGCGGCGAUCUUGACACUAAAACGGGUUUUGGUCGACUAACACAACCCGUUUAAAAAUAGGGUUGGGUUCAGGUUGACCCGUAUUAAAAACUGGUCAGGUUUGGGUUGGCUACUCGAAAGUACAAUAAAGCACAAUGGAAUGGAAUUGGUUUAUAUUCUCACCAAUAGUUGAUUCAUAGAAUGUUCUCAGCCCAAGAAAUCAAAGGAAAACAAGGAUUUGAUCUGAAUGAGAUUGUUUUUGCUAGUGAUCUUUCAGUACAAUGAAUUCUCAAGAAAAUCCCUACAUGCUGCCAACAUUAGCUCCAAGAUUGUGGCCAUUUAUGAGACAUAGUAUCAUAUCUGUCUGUUAUUCAGCCUUUCGCACAUUGGAGAAAGCUACCGAGAGAAAGAAGUGUUAUACAGGUUAAUGUCUCGACUCCAUUCUUCAGUAUUUGUCCACAUAGGUGGAAGAAGAUGAUGAAUCAAUGGCUUUUUCAAGAUGAGCAACAAUAGAAGAAGAGUGAGAAAAGUGUCGCUGAGAUUUCUUCAAAGAAAGUGGUGAUGGGUCACGUACACAUAAUACCUUUCUUAGUAGAACAAACCUGGAAGAUGAUGAAAUAAUAUAUGUCAUGUUGUGUGGAGCUGUAAACGAAAUUAUUAUAGAAGUUAUCAUGUUAUUAAACUGUGUUUAAAUCAUAUAUGUCAUAUUAACAUUUAGGAUAUAAUGGUUGUUGGGCCAUUUGCAUGCUUUGCUUAGCAUAUUGUUAUUCACUUCAAUAAAUCCGCGAGUGCAAUUACACCAACUGCCAUUGUAAUAGGCGUCUAGGUUUUUCAAUUUGUUCAUUGUGAUUAAUCAACGGAUAAAUUACACUUUUC